GACAGGGAUGGGAGUGGAGGAUCCCCGAAGAGGGCAGAAGCUGCAAGGCAGAGCAAAGGUGCUUCUGGAGAAGUGGAUCUGAGGUCCUUUUCAUACUUCCUGGAGACCUCCCAAAGCAAAGAGGGCCCUGGGGACCUAAAAUGUCACCUUUUUACAAAUGCCUGCUUCAUGGCUGCUUCUUCCUCACUGUAGCCUGAUGGGGCAGAAGAACUCAGCUGAAGGGUCUGGUCUCUUGGGCUGAGACCCACCUUCCACUACCAAGGCACAAUGGGGACUUGAGCAAGACCUUUCUCUUCUCUGGAACAUGGAUUCUCCGUGGGGGGCUCGCUACUGAAGACCCCCUUUCUCUUAUGCUGCAGAUCUCUGGGUGUGUAUCAGGGCCGCUCCCAGCUAUAGUUACAGUGAACUGAGCAGCAUAAUCAGAUGUCACCACAAACAUUCAGAGUAGGCUCGGUCAUGGUUCCUACUUUAUGGAUGAAUAAAUAGGCAGGAAAAGGGUAAAUUAGUUGCUCGGGUGCACAUAGCAAGUAACUAACAGAGCCUGGAUUUGACUUCAAAGUAUGUGCAAUUAAUGGUUCUUCUGAAUCUUGAGGUUAACAAACUUUCCUCGCACCAGACCUAGGAGGCAUUCGAUCCACAAAUACAUUUGAGGGCUGAUCAUGGAGCAGCCCCAUACCCCUGCAGAACCUACACCCCAAACCUCAAAGGUAUUGUUGCCCUGGGCGGAGCUGCUGGGUUUAAAGAGCCGGAACCCACCUGGGGGAACACAGCCCCAGCAGCCUCUCCAGAGCUGUGCCCAGCUCUCAGCCCUGCUCUGCAGCUGUAUCAUGAAGAGAGUGACCCGGGGCCUUCUCCUCACACUGGCAGGUGAGCCCUCCCCGAAGUGAACCUGCUGCCACCCACCACCCACCCCCCGCCCCCGGGCAGUGAAAACCAGGGCGGCAUCUCCCAAAGGGGCCUGAUGUCGAACAAAUGUAUUUUCACUUAAACUGUCAAUUUAAAGAGUGGCACUGAGGAAAUAAUAGUACAGGGAGGAAGUGGAUAUUGCAAAUUUGUCCUAAAUAAUUGAACAGUAA
rnacentral:lncRNA from 1 species